rnacentral:rRNA from 1 species
CACCGCGGUUAUACGAGAGGCCCAAGUUGACAGACAACGGCGUAAAGAGUGGUUAGGGAACAAAUUAAAAUAGAGCCAAACGCUUUCACAGCUGUUAUACACACCCGAGAGUAUGAAACCCAAUCACGAAAGUAACUCUACUAACCCUGAGCCCACGAAAGCUAAGAAA